GUAGGUGGCAAGCGUUGUCCGGAAUUAUUGGGCGUAAAGCGCGCGCAGGCGGUUCUUUAAGUCUGAUGUGAAAGCCCACGGCUCAACCGUGGAGGGUCAUUGGAAACUGGAGAACUUGAGUACAGAAGAGGAAAGCGGAAUUCCACGUGUAGCGGUGAAAUGCGUAGAGAUGUGGAGGAACACCAGUGGCGAAGGCGGCUUUCUGGUCUGUGACUGACGCUGAGGCGCGAAAGCGUGGGGAGCAAACAGGAUUAGAUACCCUGGUAGUCCACGCCGUAAACGAUGAGUGCUAAGUGUUAGGGGGUUUCCGCCCCCCUUAGUGCUGCAGCUAACGCAUUAAGCACUCCGCCUGGGAGUACGGCCGCAAGGCUG
rnacentral:rRNA from 1 species